rnacentral:rRNA from 1 species
GACGAACGCUGGCGGCGUGGAUUAGGCAUGCAAGUCGAACGGUAUCAUCCUUUCGGGGGUGAGAGAGUGGCGAACUGGUGAGUAACACGUAGGUUAUCUACCCUCAAGACGGGGACAACCCAGGGAAACUUGGGCUAAUACCGGAUGUGAGCAACUUUUAGUUGUUUGAAAGGUGGCGUAAGCUGUCGCUUGGGGAUGAGCCUGCGUCCUAUUAGUUAGUUGGUGAGGUAACGGCUCACCUAGGCAAUGAUAGGUAGGCGGCCUUAACGGGUGGUCGCCCACACUGGGAUUGAGAUACGGCCCAGACUCCUACGGGAGGCAGCAGUCGAGAAUAGUCUACAAUGGUCGGAAGACUGAUAGUGCGACGCCGCGUGAACGAUGAAUCCCUUCGGGGUGUAAAGUUCUUUUAUAUGUGAGCAGUGCUUCUUAUAUUUAACAGUAUGGGGAAGAGAUAUUAGCAUACGAAUAAGCAAACGGCUAAACUCCGUGCCAAGCAGCCGCGGUAAAACUCGUACU